rnacentral:miRNA from 9 species
CAUAGAACGAUGGUAGCCCACU